UUGAAUAUACCUUAUGUUUGUGAACAAAAAUAUAGCAUUUGUUGCACAGUUUUUUUUUUCUCCUCUGAAUCUUCCAGUAGAGAAUGGCAAUCCUUGCAAAGACCUUCCUAUUAGUUUUGGGAAUCAGCAGAUGGUGUCCGACAUGCACUUAAUUUGUUUUUUCCUUCCCCCCAACUCUGGCCCCGUCUUUUUUAGGCCCUGCUAUUUUGCUGGGCUGAGCAGUAUUCCUGCCUUUCAACAUCACCCUGAAGGCUCUGACCUGUGAGUACUGAUUCACAGGCGGUGUUGGAGGCACUUUAAGAUUCCUGCCAUGUCAUCCUGUUCCUCUUCUGACACAGGCAAGAGCAGUAAUGUUCCAGUUGGGCGUUGACUUCUUCCAGGACUGGGUCAACAUUCAGGAAUUAUGAAACUAGUUGCCUCAUUUCCUCAUGAUCUGAAAACCCAAAGGCAAUUCCCUCAGGAGGAACAAGUGGGUGGCUGCCAUAUAGACACCAGCUGGAUAUCCUCAUAGUCGGAGUUUGAGAUGAGGAAAGGGUGAUGCCCCUUGAUAGCAACUUAAUGCACAUGGGGCAUUAUUCUGACACACAGUGACACACCUGGCUGUUGUUACUCCUCUUGGAUUAUUCCAUCCCUUGUACUGAGAGCAAGGCCAACCCCAACAUGAUGAAGCAAUUGGUUGGGAGGAAGGUUUCCAUAAAAGAAAGGAGAAAGAGAAUGAUGCAAUCUCCAUUUUUGUUUCUUCCUCACCUAGUUGAAUUCUAUAGCAACAUUAGCAGAAACACUAGAUCCAAGCUCAGGAUUCCCAGUUGUGGUGGUGGGAGAGGUGCCCCCAGGAAGUAUUGUAGGACUCCUGGAAGUAUACACAGGGCUAAUGCUAGGCUGCAGUUCAGCAGCAUGCGGCAAGGACCAGCAGCAGUUCUGAUUGGUUGGGGCCAACGCGAUCUGGGGCGUUAAUAUUUUAAAUAUGUCUAGAUGUAUUCUGAUAUUUAAUAUUACAUAAACAUUUUAUAUGUGGAAAAUAAAGGAGGGGAAUUUUGUAAUUCAAACUACAGGAACUGGUAGGUGAGAUGGAGUAAUGCAAAAAUCACAGUGGGAGGAAAGAAAUCCCUGGGGACCACCCCAGCAUUUGGGAUGGUGAUAGUAAGAAUUUUGCACAUAUCAGAAGGGCACAUGAGUAAAAUAUGGUUGAGAAACACUACAUAAAAUAGAGGUGGUUCUGGUUUGAUACCAGCAGGGGUGAUACAUGAAGAAAACCCAUUAUAAAUCUUCCGUGCAUGCCGUUGCGGGGUGGUGCGUUGUCAGACAUAGAGAUUGAAAUCACUCAGCCUUGUGGUCAUGAGGCGUGCCAAUGGCUUUCCUGAGUCUUUGGGGGCUCCUGAGCAGUGUUCCAGGCACCCUCGUUUGUUCUCACCAUUCUGUGAUUUCAGGCUCACGUGUUGGAAAAGGGCUUCCUGAAGUAGAGGCCCACAGAAGGCACUACAGUGUGGUGGUGAAGAGCGUGGUUUCAGUCCCAGGCAGACCCAGUCCCAGUUCCUCGGCUGCCACUCACUGGCCACAGAAUGCAAGCAAGUGACUUAAUCUCUCCGGCCUCCAGUUUCCUCUUUGGUGAGGGUCACAGGACUCACCGCAGAGGAGAGGGGAGGAGCAUUUGAGAUGAUAUACUGAUAAUGUGUUUUCCACAGGGCCUGGCCUAGAGUAGGUGCUUAGUAAGUGGUAGCUGGCACUGCCAGUGCACAGGAGUGAGAGAGCUUGUGAGUCCCACUUCAGCCACAGAAGAGGAGGCAGAAAUGCCAUGAAGGUUGAGAACUGGAAAAGGGUGAUGAUCAGGAAUAAUGACCCUAAGGAAGCAGGAGGUCUUCUGAAUCCUCGAAGAUUUCCCUGUCCCCAGUAAAUCUCCAGUCCUGAUGAAGAAAAAAAUCUUGUUUCUUGUUUUCGAGAGUGUCAGAAGUAGCUGGAAAGAUGUGUCCUGUGCCUAGCCAAAGUUAGGAGAAGAGAAAACACCUAGGAACCAGAGGCAAAAAGAAAAAAAAAAAACCUGGAACCUGGGGCUUGCAGAAAGGCAAAAAAAAAAAAAAAAAAAAAAAAAAAAAAUAGUAGCUGACAGUCAGCCAAGACUCGAAGUGUGGCCCCAGGGGCUUGGCCAACAAGAAGCCUGUGGCAAUUCCUGACGCAGUAGUUCUGGGAAGUUGAUUUACCCAAUAAACCUCCCUGCAUGGGCUCAGUUUAAGUUUGCAGCUUACUAUAAAUAAAUGUUUGUUCAAUGAACACAACUGAAUGGGCAGGCUAGCUUGGCUAAUAGUAUCUAUGAUUUAGCUACUCUAGAGCCUUCCAAAGGUAUCAGGUGUGCCUUAUCCAUUAGCACAGAGAGGCACAGGGCUGAGCAGGUGAAGGGAGUACACCGCUGUGGUUUGACCUGCUCAAUAUCCCUUCUUCCUGAAACAGAAUCUAUCUUUUCUUCUUGGGGAGCCACCCCUCCACUACUUUUAGCCCUUGGCUUAGGUUCUUCUUUUAAGACUCAGUUCUACCAGGAGGUAACCUCUGGUAAAUUCUCAAAUCCUAGUGCCAGGGUUAGGCAUGCGAUCAAGGCAAUAUAUCCAAGAAGCGGUAUGGGAGGCAAUUUGAGCCAAUGAGAUGCAACUCAAUACCUGGAGCCCCUGGGCCAGAGACUUGGAGUUUGUAUAUCUGCAAUUGUUGGGGUUUUGCCUUCUCUCCAAGAAAGCCUGAGUGAGGAUGAAGACAACAGGAUAAAGCAGAAACGAGAGGGAGAGAUGGAUUCCUCCUGACACCAUUUGAGCUCCUCCUUCUCCAGCUGAGCGUGAGCUAGCCCUGCAUUUUCCCGUUGCGUGGGCUCGUAAAUUCUCUUUGUGCUUGAGUGGGUUUGAGGUAAGAAGAUGAUGGUCAUGGAUUUUGCAGUACAUCUCUGUGCCUCUCAAACUCUGGGAGAUGAUUUACCCUUGAAAGAGCUCAAGGAGCAUUUCUCAAGGAUGGAUCAUAACUGACUAUUGUGUGUCUCAAGGUUGGCUCCAAACCAGCAGAAGCUGAAUAAAGAACUGUGAACUUGGAAUGACUGUGGGACGCUAGGCUCUUACUGGUCCUAACUGAAGACUUUUUCCCAACAGCGAGCAAUGGGGCUUCUUUUAACCAACUCUAUUUACAACCUUAGAUUCAUUCCGUUCUUUGCAAAGUACUGGAUUUCAACACUUAAUUAGCAAUAACCACAUGAACCUACCCUGGCAAGCCCUUUAACAACUCUGAAUUUUCCCUCUCAGUGAGCUACUACUUAAUUCAGUAAAUUUCUCCCUAUCCUGUAUUCCUGUGGCUAGCAAGUCAAUAGACUCAGCUUUUAUUUUAUUUUGAGUUGGAGUCUCGCUCUGUCAUUCAGGCUAGAGUGCAGUAGCUUCAU
rnacentral:lncRNA from 1 species